UUCCUUCAACCUAAUUGAGCGUUCCCACAAUUUAACGAAACCAAUUAGAAAGACCGGCAAUUAAAAGGACACAGAGUUGGAGCGAUUCACAAUGGGCUUUGGCUCCAUCUCCGGCGACAAGCAAUGACAAAGGCACCACGUCCGAUGUUUCAGGAUUCAAGACAAUUCAAGGUUUGAGGAAAAUCCGAUCCAAUUUAUUGUCAUUAACUUAAGAAAUUAUGUGGAAAUAAGAGGAUUGCUUGUUGGAGUAAAUUAGGAAGUUGCCUUAAUCUUGAAACUGCUGGAGACAGUGCACUGACAUGCUUCACAAGGUCAUGGAGUCUGCAGUCCCUGUUGACAACAACUGGGUGAUGAAUGAGUUGUUUGGGACAGUUUGUCAGAGUAAACUCCAAAGUCCAGAUACACUGGAAGGGAGCAGCUGAAAUGGUUGACAUGUUUAGCUGUUUGCACUCCAUAGGCUAGGAUAAGGACCAAUAAGCUUGCGUUCAUUAGUGGAAAACUGCUUAAGCAGAAACUAUGACACAGUUGGAAGCUAUUGGAGUCAAGAGACUACAAGUAAGUUACUUUACCAUAACACGUGAUGAAAGUCAUUUUUCUUCUGCUUUCUUUAAAGGGUAUUUACUUCAACAAGAUAGCAACAGGGCAACCAUACGACUACCUCUCUGAUAGCAAAUGUGGCAAGUAGGACGGAAGAUUAUCUAAUAUGGAGAAGGAAUAUCUUUGAUCCUACAAAGAAACUGAAUGACAUAAAAAUAGAUAUGACUUAUUUGGAAUGGUACAAGAAGGUGUGGAUUGAGUAGGGAGGAUACUAUGAUAGUUACAAACUUUGGCAUUGGAAAACUAGGGAUGAAAUCAAAAGCAGACAUGAAAUCAUGGAGCGCAAGAAAAUUCUCACUCGAUACUAGAAAGACAUAGUUGAUGAAGCAGAGCAAAUGCCUCAAAAAGAAUGGGUGGCUUUUCAGACUCGUUGUAUUUAUGCAAGAAGCAAUAAGAAUGGUUGAACCACUUGACAAUAGAUAGACAAUAGAUGGUUUGAGUAGGAGAAGAAAGGUGUUGCCCAUAUAUUUACAUUGAGUGGAAAAAUCAAUUUCCACUAGUAUUGCUAUUA